AGAUAGUGCCAUUGCACUCCCGCUUGAACUACGAGUGAGACUCUAUCUCAAAUAAAUAAAUAAGGCAUACAAAAUUUGAAUUGUUGUAUCUUUUUGGUGAAUUUAACUUUUUAUCAUUAAGUUGUGGCCCUCUUUAUCUGCAAUAACAGUUUUUACCUUAAAGUCUUCCCCCUCGGCCCAAAUUAAUAGAGCUGUUUUCCUUUGGUUUAUAUUUGCCGAGUUUAUAUUUUUCUAUCCCUUUACUUUCAACCAUUUUGUGUGUUUAAGUAUAUCACCUGUAAAUCUCUAUUUUCUUGUUCCUUCUUUUAUUUAUUUAUUUGUCUUUAGAUAUAGAGAUGGGG